AGUGAACGCUGGCGGUAGGCCUAACACAUGCAAGUCGAACGGCAGCACAGUAAGAGCUUGCUCUUACGGGUGGCGAGUGGCGGACGGGUGAGGAAUACAUCGGAAUCUACUUUUUCGUGGGGGAUAACGUAGGGAAACUUACGCUAAUACCGCAUACGACCUACGGGUGAAAGCAGGGGAUCUUCGGACCUUGCGCGAUUGAAUGAGCCGAUGUCGGAUUAGCUAGUUGGCGGGGUAAAGGCCCACCAAGGCGACGAUCCGUAGCUGGUCUGAGAGGAUGGUCGGCCACACUGGAACUGAGACGCGGUCCAGGCGCCUACGGGAGGCAGCAGUGGGGAAUAUUGGACAAUGGGCGCAAGCCUGAUCCAGCCAUACCGCGUGGGUGAAGAAGGCCUUCGGGUUGUAAAGCCGUUUUGUUGGGAAAGAAAAGCAGCAGGUUAAUACCCCGCUGUUCUGACGGUACCCAAAGAAUAAGCACCGGCUAACUUCGUG
rnacentral:rRNA from 1 species